CGCAGGUGAGGCUGAUCGCUGCGGCGCCAACAACUGUAUGUAUACGGUCAAGAGUAGACAGCGAGAUCCUGCAGCGCCUAGAGUCUGGGAGGACUGAAGUCCAACUUCCAUAGGUGCCAUGGAAGCAUCGGCGGAGAAAAGAGCUGACGUUUCGAGUCCUCAUGACCCUUCGACAGAACUUGAGUUCGAGUCCAAGAAAGAGUUGAAAUAUAAGCUGGUUUAAGCCUUUCUCCUAAUAUUCAGCAGUGGUCUUUUCCAGGAAAAGGCUUCGAACAUCCAACAUGGAAGCCAGUUCUAGAAUGUGAUUCUGGAGGGCAGGAUUCUCCACACUAUCUUCUUUCUGCAACUGUGGAUGCUGCCUGUUCUGCUGAAUGUUUACAGCAUUUGCUGCUUUUGUUUCAUAUUUACAAAAUCUGCAAUUCUUUUGCUUUUUCUACCUGAUUAAACAUUUACCUUGAUCACUAAGAAAGAACUUCACAUUCAAAACAGGCCCUGAUCCAAAAAGACUUUGCAGAUCUUGUUUUGAUGGUUUAUUUACAGACUCCUAAAGUUACUAACUCAUGCUGGGGUGCCAUUCCAUUGGUUCAGUAUACUUUUUACACCUAUCUCAUGCAGUCAUUGUUUGUAUAAGUUUAACAUUGACUAUUAGUAGGCUAUAUGAUCAUGAAGAACAUCACAGCCAUCCCGGAUUCUGCUUUCAUCAAUGGCAAGCUCAAGACUUUCCUGCAGGGAAAUGGUAUGCAUCUUAUACAAUCUAAACUUUUCAGACUUUUAUGUUAUCAGUUGCUGUAUUGCUGAAGUAAAAUCAAAAGGUACGAAUCUUACCCUGAA